rnacentral:lncRNA from 1 species
CUUAGUGUCAGGGAUUUAGAAAAAUUUUUGCUCGGUCCAGCCCAUAGUUAGUUAAUUCGGAUUCGGCAAAAAUUCAGUACGGAUAUUAUAUGCAUAAAAUUUAUUUUCUAAUUUUUAAAUUCGUUGAAAAUUUCGGCUUAAAAAACGGCUUCGAUAUAAAAUAUAAAAUAUAAGAUAUAAAAUAUAAGAUAAUUUAUAUUUAAAAAUAAAAAUUAUAAGUUUUUUAUUCAUAUUUUCAAUAAUUCGGCAAUAAUUCGCGAAUUAUUUGCGAAUAAUUCAGCUGGCCCAAAGAUUGGUGAAUAAUUCACUUUCUUUAAGAAAAAUUCGUAAACGAACCGUUUAAUUCGGAUUUUUAAUAAUUCGCGCAUAAUUCGCGAAUUUACUAACUAGGGUCCAGCCCAACUUCAUAAGUUGAAACGUGCUGUCGAGAAAGCCUGAUUUCAGUCUUUUUGUGGGAGAAGAAGGGUCACAAAACUGUUGCCAUCAAGCCUCCAAAACUGUCAGAAAAAAUCUAAA